GGGUUGUGAGGUUAAGCGACUAAGCGUACACGGUGGAUGCCCUGGCAGUCAGAGGCGAUGAAGGGCGUACUAAUCUGCGAUAAGCGCCGGUAAGGUGAUAUGAACCGUUAUAACCGGCGAUACCCGAAUGGGGAAACCCAGUGUGAUUCGUCACACUAUCAUUAACUGAAUCCAUAGGUUAAUGAGGCGAACCGGGGGAACUGAAACAUCUAAGUACCCCGAGGAAAAGAAAUCAACCGAGAUUCCCCCAGUAGCGGCGAGCGAACGGGGAGGAGCCCAGAGCCUGAAUCAGCAUGUGUGUUAGUGGAAGCGUCUGGAAAGGCGCGCGAUACAGGGUGACAGCCCCGUACACAAAAGCGCAUGUGCUGUGAGCUCGAUGAGUAGGGCGGGACACGUGGUAUCCUGUCUGAAUAUGGGGGGACCAUCCUCCAAGGCUAAAUACUCCUGACUGACCGAUAGUGAACCAGUACCGUGAGGGAAAGGCGAAAAGAACCCCGGCGAGGGGAGUGAAAAAGAACCUGAAACCGUGUACGUACAAGCAGUGGGAGCCCCACCACCAAAGCAUUUGCUGUACCGCGUUGACGGAGCGAAGCGACGUCAAACCGAUAAAACAGCAGUGUAAAGUGAGCCGCAGGGCGCUUUGCGCGACAGCGCAAAGGCAGGCGGUUUCGCGUAGCGAAAGCGAAUGCUUUGGGGUGGGGUGACUGCGUACCUUUUGUAUAAUGGGUCAGCGACUUAUAUUCUGUAGCAAGGUUAACCGAAUAGGGGAGCCGGAGGGAAACCGAGUCUUAAUUGGGCGUUAAGUUGCAGGGUAUAGACCCGAAACCCGGUGAUCUAGCCAUGGGCAGGUUGAAGGUUGGGUAACACUAACUGGAGGACCGAACCGACUAAUGUUGAAAAAUUAGCGGAUGACCUGUGGCUGGGGGUGAAAGGCCAAUCAAACCGGGAGAUAGCUGGUUCUCCCCGAAAGCUAUUUAGGUAGCGCCUCGUGAAUUCAUCUCCGGGGGUAGAGCACUGUUUCGGCUAGGGGGCCAUCCCGGCUUACCAACCCGAUGCAAACUGCGAAUACCGGAGAAUGUUAUCACGGGAGACACACGGCGGGUGCUAACGUCCGUCGUGAAGAGGGAAACAACCCAGACCGCCAGCUAAGGUCCCAAAGUCAUGGUUAAGUGGGAAACGAUGUGGGAAGGCCCAGACAGCCAGGAUGUUGGCUUAGAAGCAGCCAUCAUUUAAAGAAAGCGUAAUAGCUCACUGGUCGAGUCGGCCUGCGCGGAAGAUGUAACGGGGCUAAACCAUGCACCGAAGCUGCGGCAGCGACACUGUGUGUUGUUGGGUAGGGGAGCGUUCUGUAAGCCUGUGAAGGUGUGUCGUGAGGC
rnacentral:rRNA from 2 species